rnacentral:rRNA from 1 species
UACGAAGGGGGCGAGCGUUGUUCGGAAUCACUGGGCGUAAAGGGUGCGUAGGCGGUCGGGUAAGUCUGAUGUGAAAUCUCCAAGCUCAACUUGGAAAUGGCAUCGGAUACUAUUCGGCUCGAGGAAUGGAGGGGAGACUGGAAUACUUGGUGUAGCAGUGAAAUGCGUAGAUAUCAAGUGGAACACCAGUGGCGAAGGCGAGUCUCUGGACAUUUCCUGACGCUGAGGCACGAAAGCCAGGGGAGCAAACGGG